UACAGAGGUCCCAAGCGUUGUUCGGAUUCAUCGGUGCGUAAAGGGUGCGUAGGCGGUUGGGUAAGUCUGAUGUGAAAUCUCACAGCUUAACUGUGAAACUGCAUUGGAUACUAUCCGGCUAGAGGAAUGGAGGGGAGACUGGAAUACUUGGUGUAGCAGUGAAAUGCGUAGAUAUCAAGUGGAACACCAGUGGUGAAGGCGAGUCUCUGGACAUUUCCUGACGCUGAGGCACGAAAGCCAGGGGAGCAAACGGG
rnacentral:rRNA from 1 species